rnacentral:rRNA from 1 species
UACAGAGGUCUCAAGCGUUGUUCGGAUUCAUUGGGCGUAAAGGGUGCGUAGGCGGCGCGGUAAGUCGGGUGUGAAAUCUCGGAGCUUAACUCCGAAACUGCAUUCGAUACUGCCGUGCUUGAGGACUGGAGAGGAGACUGGAAUUUACGGUGUAGCGGUGAAAUGCGUAGAUAUCGUAAGGAAGACCAGUGGCGAAGGCGGGUCUCGUGGACAGCUCCUGACGCUGAGGCACGAAGGUCAGGGGAGCAAACGGG